rnacentral:rRNA from 1 species
ACGCUCGACACCUACGGGAGGCAGCAGUGGGGAAUAUUGCACAAUGGGGGAAACCCUGAUGCAGCGACGCCGCGUGGAGGAAGAAGGUCUUCGGAUUGUAAACUCCUGUCCCAGGGGACGAUAAUGACGGUACCCUGGGAGGAAGCACCGGCUAACUACGUGCCAACAGCCGCGGUAAUCUGAGCGGGCUGGCAAGGC